rnacentral:rRNA from 1 species
GAUGAACGCUGGCGGCGUGCCUAAUACAUGCAAGUCGAGCGAACAGACGAGGAGCUUGCUCCUCUGACGUUAGCGGCGGACGGGUGAGUAACACGUGGAUAACCUACCUAUAAGACUGGGAUAACCUCGGGAAACCGGAGCUAAUACCGGAUAACAUGUUGAACCGCAUGGUUCAACAGUGAAAGACGGUCUUGCUGUCACUUAUAGAUGGAUCCGCGCCGCAUUAGCUAGUUGGUAAGGUAACGGCUUACCAAGGCAACGAUGCGUAGCCGACCUGAGAGGGUGAUCGGCCACACUGGAACUGAGACACGGUCCAGACUCCUACGGGAGGCAGCAGUAGGGAAUCUUCCGCAAUGGGCGAAAGCCUGACGGAGCAACGCCGCGUGAGUGAAGAAGGUCUUCGGAUCGUAAAACUCUGUUAUUAGGGAAGAACAAAUGUGUAAGUAACUAUGCACGUCCUGACGGUACCUAAUCAGAAAGCCACGGCUAACUACGUG